rnacentral:rRNA from 1 species
AUACGAAAGGUGCAAGCGUUGUUCGGAUUUACAGGGCGUAAAGAGAGUGUAGGUGGUUUAUUAAGUCGGAUGUGAAAUCCCGGGGCUCAACCUCGGAACUGCAUUCGAUACUGAUAGGCUAGAGUUUGGGAGGGGUAAGCGGAAUUCCGUGUGUAGCAGUGAAAUGCGUAGAUAUACGGAGGAACACCUGAGGCGAAGGCGGCUUACUGGACCAAUACUGACACUGAGACUCGAAAGCGUGGGUAGCAAACAGGAUUAGAAACCCUAGUAGUCC